AACCUCUGUCCAAAAACUUUCAGUCUCUUUAUCUAUGUCCUUCAUGCCGACGUAGGUAACACCUCUCAGUUGUCAAAGAGCAAUCAUCAGGGUGCUUUUGAUUACAACACUCAUAAUAUAGGAAUGUAGACAUCCCAUGUAUUACAGUUCCAACAGAACCCCCUGCCUGACUAGCCUUGGGAUGAGACUGUCCUCCCAAGAACCCUCCUCCACCAGACUAAGGGGGUCUACUAGGAGCUCCUUUAGGCAAGAUAUUUCCUCUACUCCUAAACGACCGGUUAGGCCCCUGUUCACCGCCUCCUCCCUUUUCAAGGAGAGGUUGCCUACUAAAUUGUGAUCUAGGUUCUCUUUUCUUUUCUAGAAAUUAUAGGCCCUGUUCUAUUUUGCCUUGCCACCCUUCUUCUAAAACUGACUCUAUAAACCGAGUAGCCUCUACCAGUUCCCAAACUAUCUUGGGUAAAGGAUUACUAACCCUUUUCUAAGCUCAUGUCUGAGACCAUCCCUCAAUCUCUUAAUCCGAUGCUGCUCAGUGGGAACUAAUGUAAAAGCAAAGAUUAAAGAUCCUGAAACUGUCUCUUAUACUCUGAUACUAUCAUACUCCCUUGUUUAAGGGCAAGAAACUCAUGUUCCUUACUCCUCUUAUAAUGUCUAAAGUAAUACCUGGUCUCAAACUUUGUCAAAAAAUCUAUCCAAGAUAAUACUCCCUCUGCUCUUCUCUCUCUCAUAGUCGCCCACCAUGUUUGAGUACUAUUUGACAGUAAUUAUGCCACACAAUUUACUCACACUCUCUCUGGUGCUGGAAUUUGAGCAAGUGACUCUUCCAUUUUCUAAAACCAAUGCCCAACUAUUUCAGCAUCUUCCUUUUAUAGAUAUGGAACACACCCCAUCUCCCUCAUAUUUUUUACCUAAUGCACUAAAGUGAGGGUAUCAUCUCUACCUGCAGUACCGGCUACUCUUAUCAUACUAGAAAUAACAGCCCUCACAAUAUACUCUAAAUAUGCAGUAUCCUGAUAUGAUAUAAGUGCCCCUAGGAGCACCAUAGAUGGGAGUCUACUGGAUUAUCCUAUCCUGUUGGACGCCUUUAUACGAUGGCAUCCUCGAUGAAAAUGGUAGAGAGAUAACUCCGGGCAUAGAUGAUUCUCUUUGAACUGACCAUAAUGGCACAACCGGUGAAUGUGAUGCAAUAUCUCCUAAAGGAUCUCUCAUCUGAUCCCCUCCAUUAUCAAUGGAUCGAUCCCUACUUUAAACAGAAGAUGGAUCGGUCUGAGUCCCCUUACCAUCCUAAAAUAAAUAUUAAUUUCUCAUUAGUUCAUCUGCUUUUAACUUCACAAGUGUAUUGGAUUAUGUCUAGAUGCUUUGAUACCAACUAUAAUAUCUUAACCUUUAAAUGUAUUUCUCAAAUUUAACAAUGUCAUAUAUAUGACAAUAGGGGU
rnacentral:lncRNA from 1 species